rnacentral:lncRNA from 1 species
ACUCAAUUGAUCUUAAUGAACUAUGGAUUAAAUCAAAUAAUCUAAACUUUAGGUUGAGGAUGAUGUGUUGAGAUAUGUUGGCAAUGAGGGAAAGGAGCUAGAGUCUAAUGAUAAUAGUGAUAGUGAUCUGAGAAGCCUAGGAAUGAGGUUAAUGAUGAUAGGAGGAUAAGAUUCCCUAAAUUCACUGAGUGCUCUGAAUUCAAGAAACAAAGCAAGCUUUAUUGUGGAAUCAAAUUAAGUAAUUAUAAGGUGUUUAGGAAAGCCCUUAGGCUGUACUCCAUUCAAGAGGGUUUUGUCCAACCAGACACUAGUCAAUCAGCACUCCCUCAAUCACCAGGCUACAUGGUUAAAUCCAUUUAAUCUUACCAACCAGGUACCAAUCGAUCUUUUUUAUCGACUCCCAUAAUUGUUGUCAAUAUAUCAGUCACCUUUGGCUGAGGUUGGUUAGACCCAUUUAAUCUUACUAAAUAUGAGCUGGAACUUUGCACAACAAUUUCUCUCCUCAGUGAUAUAUAUUUUUUUUAACAUUCUGAGAGCCUGUCGGGUUUCGAACUUGUAACCUUGCUCUGAUACCAUAUAUUAGGUCCGUAGCCCCUAACCAACUUUCUAAAAGGCAAAUGCCC